CCUACGGGUGGCAGCAGUGGGGAAUAUUGGACAAUGGGGGGAACCCUGAUCCAGCGACGCCGCGUGAGUGAAGAAGUAUUUCGGUAUGUAAAGCUCUAUCAGCAGGGAAGAAAGAAAUGACGGUACCUGACUAAGAAGCCGCGGCUAACUACGUGCCAGCCGCCGCGGUAAUACGGAGGAUGCGAGCGUUAUCCGGAUUUAUUGGGUUAAAAGGGUGCGGAGGGGGUCUGUUAAGCCAGCGGUCAAAGCCCGGGGCUCACCCCCGACCCGCCUGUGAAACUGGCAGUCUCGAGGUGGAGAGAGGUAUGCGGAAUGCGCGGUGUAGCGGUGAAAUGCAUAGAUAUCGCGCAGAACUCCGAUUGCGAAGGCAGCAUGCCGGCUCCACACUGACGCUGAGGCACGAAAGCGUGGGUAGCGAACAGGAUUAGAUACCCCAGUAGUC
rnacentral:rRNA from 1 species